GACUCCUACGGGAGGCAGCAGUGGGGAAUAUUGCACAAUGGGGGAAAACCCCUGAUAGCAGCGACGCCGCGUGGAGGAAGAAGGUCUUCGGAUUGUAAACUCCUGUUGUUGAGGAAGAUAAUGACGGUACUCAACAAGGAAGUGACGGCUAACUACGUGC
rnacentral:rRNA from 1 species